rfam:Staphylococcus sp. HMSC078E07 Staphylococcus_spHMPREF2905-1.0_Cont80.1, whole genome shotgun sequence.
GUUUGCUAUACUAUGUAUAACUUCUUAAUUACAAGAAGUUAUCUCCUUUGUGUUGUUUAUAGUAACAAAACAAAUUUUGCUCGAAGUACUGUGACAGUACCUAGUCCUUACCGUUACAAGUACAUUAAUAUUCAUUUCCCAUAAAAACCAAGUAUAUAAAGUGUCUCCUCACUUUGCAUGCUUGGUUUUU